rnacentral:snoRNA from 1 species
ACAACAUGAUAGGGACAUUUACAAAUGAGGUCCUUAAAUCUUUCCCAGGUCUUAUGAAGAUAUUCGUCAUCAAAUUAUGAGAAACUAGUGAUGACGCGUCUGAUUUG